rnacentral:rRNA from 1 species
GAUGAACGCUGGCGGCGUGCCUAAUACAUGCAAGUCGAGCGAACAGACGAGGAGCUUGCUCCUUUGAUGUUAGCGGCGGACGGGUGAGUAACACGUAGGUAACCUACCUAUAAGACUGGGAUAACUUCGGGAAACCGGAGCUAAUACCGGAUAAUAUUUCGAACCGCAUGGUUCGAUAGUGAAAGAUGGCUUUGCUAUCACUUAUAGAUGGGCCUGCGCCGUAUUAGCUAGUUGGUAAGGUAACGGCUUACCAAGGCAACGAUACGUAGCCGACCUGAGAGGGUGAUCGGCCACACUGGAACUGAGACACGGUCCAGACUCCUACGGGAGGCAGCAGUAGGGAAUCUUCCGCAAUGGGCGAAAGCCUGACGGAGCAACGCCGCGUGAGUGAUGAAGGUCUUCGGAUCGUAAAACUCUGUUAUUAGGGAAGAACAAACGUGUAAGUAACUGUGCACGUCUUGACGGUACCUAAUCAGAAAGCCACGGCUAACUACGUG